CAUUCUGCAAAUGUUGUAAGGUACUGAUAGAAUCAGUAGCUGAAUUAUCAUAUCUUAAUCAAAGAUAGGAUAGAGCUACUGAGAUGAUUGCUGACACCAAGAGUCUCACUCAAUAUCAUAAGAGGGCUCCUCCUUGUAGCCUCAUUGUAGGAUAUUAUGCAAAAUUGUAUCCAGAACUUCGUAAUGAACUGCUCGACUUGCAAGUUUGCACACUAAAUUUUCACAGAACCUGCUUAAUUUUGGCUGCUGGAUUCUAAGGAUACACAAAAAUACAGGCACCUCAACUACAAAAACGUUUGGGCAAGAAAGAAGGGAGGAAAAGGAAACUAUGACUUAUUUCACGUCAUGCUAUAUAUAUUGGUUGAUAUGGCAAUUGUACUCGUUACCACAGCCAGAAUUAUCAUUGUUGAAGCUAUGAUCCUAUCCUUGGUUGUAGAUAUCCUGUGAGUAUCCCUUAGCACAAUAGCACCUGGAAAAAUAAAGGCAAGACACACUGCAGAGGUUGAUCCCACAAACUGAAAGAAGUACCAUAUAUUUGGAAUGGCUAUUGCUAAUAGGUAAGUGAAGAUUAAUAUGAUUAGAGUGAGGGACACAAAUCUGGUAGUGUCUUUUGCCAAUAGAGUCUUCCGGGGGAAAAGAAAUUCGUCGAUGUUUGCCCUUAAAGAGAAGUUCAAGAGAGGAAACAC
rnacentral:misc_RNA from 1 species